rnacentral:rRNA from 1 species
UACAGAGGUCUCAAGCGUUGUCCGGAAUUAUUGGGCGUAAAGAGCGUGUAGGCGGUUCGGUAAGUCUGCCGUGAAAACCUGGGGCUCAACCCCGGGCGUGCGGUGGAUACUGCCGGGCUAGAGGGUGGUAGAGGCGAGUGGAAUUCCCGGUGUAGCGGUGAAAUGCGCAGAUAUCGGGAGGAACACCAGUAGCGAAGGCGGCUCGCUGGGCCAUUCCUGACGCUGAGACGCGAAAAGCUAGGGGGAGCGAACAGGG